rnacentral:misc_RNA from 1 species
CCGAGUUUUGGGACCCUUUGGGUACCAGCUCCCACCAUCUGUGAACCUUUUUCGUUGCCUCGGCGUACCUGAUGGUACCCAUCCUCUGGCCUUUGGCUGGGGAGUGUACGCCGAUGGAUUUUCAAACCCGAUUUUAACCUUGAAAUCUGAGUAAAACAAAAUAAGUCA